UACGUAGGGCGCAAGCGUUGUCCGGAAUUAUUGGGCGUAAAGAGCUCGUAGGCGGUCUGUCGCGUCCGUUGUGAAAAACUCGAGGCUCAACCUCGGGCUUGCAGUGGAUACGGGCAGACUAGAGUGCGGUAGGGGAGACUGGAAUUCCUGGUGUAGCGGUGGAAUGCGCAGAUAUCAGGAGGAAACACCGAUGGCGAAGGCAGGUCUCUGGGCCGCAAAC
rnacentral:rRNA from 1 species